UGUUUCAGUCAUCUUUUUCAUUUAAAAAAACAAAAUAAAAAUUAAAUCAUAUCUCCUCAUUCUUCAUAACCAGAGUGGAAUGCUAAACGGAUCGCCAUUUCGUGGAAUUGAACGCCCUCUCCUCAUAAUUCCUCCAUACGAACACUCAUAUAUGAAAACGUCCAUGAUGCCAUCAUUUACAACAAUACUCUCCUUACAAAAAAUCCUCCACCUCAUUAUAAAUCUCAUACAAACAUCUUCAUAUAUUAUUGUAGGUAGGGUUAUACGAUGUACAAUGGUGAAUAAACCUCUAUGUUACUACAUAUGAUCCAACGGUGUAUACUAAUUCAAGUCAGUAGCGUGAGAGUGGUACAAUAAUUAAUAGUGAUGGUACAAAUAUCACCUCCAGUAUAGAUAUUGGUACUACCACUUUCGAUGAAUGUACAAUAAUGUAUAUGUUUCACAGCUAACUAUACAUGAAGUUGGAUCUGCUAGAUGGAUAAGUAAUGUAUGAGUGUGGUACACUGAUUAAUAGUUUGGUAUCUGAUAAGCAAUGAUGAUCUUCUUCUUAAGACGGUGAUUCAAGGUCGUGUUUCUCAAGUGCAAGCCUCUGGCCAUGGUGAUCUAACAAAUCAAAUGCCUAGUAGCAGUAGUAACACAGAUGGAGAGUCUGUUUGUGUUUAUCUCUUGUAAAAAGGAUGCUAAGGAUGCUAACUGUGGUAUAAAGCUUUUCUUUUGCUAAUAUGUAUAAGGGGUUAACAAGUAUGCUGCUAGAAACAUGCUUCUACCAUGAUUUUCUGAGGGGAGAUUUUGUAUUUAAACAUGUGAUUUUCAGGGGGAGUUUGUGAGGGAGAAACUUAGAAGCAAGUUGCUUCUACAAGCAUAUUGGUUUUUCCCGUUAGUAUUUCAUCACAAACUGUUUCUUUACUAA